rnacentral:lncRNA from 1 species
CUGGAGGGAGGCUUGCAGAGCAGGCCCUGCAGGGGCCAUCCCAUCCCUUCUCCUGCCUCCCUCCUCCAGAGCAAAUCCUUGGUGCCUGGAGGGCUCUAAAGGAGGAGUUGCUGUCCCGUGCUCCUUCGCAAUUUACCCUGUGCACGGAAGUCCUCCAGAGCUCUAACCUCUCCCCGACCCCUGCAGUAUCUCCCUUUGUUCAGUCUUCAGUGGAAAUGGAGAAAUUCCUAGUUCCACUCUCCAUGUUCUUGUCUGGUGAGAGGACUUGGAAAUUACUCCUGCAGGUUGAUUUUCUUAACCAGGGUGGGGAGUAUUAUAGGAACUGGAGAAAGAGGAGAAGGACUUAGUAUUUAGUGUCUGAAAAUAUUUUGCUCUUGAGGACUCUGACAGCUGGAACCACACCUGGUUGCCCCACUCAUCUGAUGGUGGGGCAGUAGUUCCAGUGACCAGAAAAAUUAAACCUCAAUUUACAUUCUGAGGGUGAGGCUAGAGGUACCCUCAGGAAAGGUACUGGACUGGGAGUCAGGAGACCUGGAUUUGAGGACUAGCCCUGCCCUGCCACUUACUAGCUGGGCGACCUUGGACAAGCCACUAGUCCCCUCUGGACCUCAACUUCCUUAUCUGUAAAACAAGGGGGUGGGCCAGGCGAUGUCUAAUCAGGUUCCGGUCAGCUCCAGGCUCCAGCAUGUGGAGAUCCUGUGUGUGGCAUCACUUAGCGCCGAGAAGUGCAGAAGUCACAGUUGCCCCUGCCCCUUCUCACCCUGGAUCCUCACCCAGGUGUCGCAUCAUGCCAGUCAGUCUGGCCGACUCCACCAGUUAGAUGGAGAUGGGAACCUGGGACCCAGAGAGAAAGGAUGCAGUUCCCUCCUGGCAUAGGCUCCCAGGCACAAAAAUAGCAUCUCGAGAAAUACCCACGGCUGAUGUGGAUUCGCACAAAGAGACACACAAGUGUACAGACCACAGCAAGGACCGUGCUGACGGGGCUCUGAGAUAGGGAGACAACAGAAAAAGACAAACAGCGAUGGAGAUGAAAACUGUUGAUUUGUGAGGGGCCUCCACAGAGAAAAACAGGGAAGGUAACAAGAAAUGCAUGCAUCUACAGCAAGAAAGAUGGAUGCUACAGAGAGAGAGGGGGACUUCCUGGUGAUGAGAGGAGGUGGAAAUUAUGCUCAGUGUCAGGAGGGUG